rnacentral:rRNA from 1 species
CACGUAGGGCGCGAGCGUUGUCCGGAAUUAUUGGGCGUAAAGAGCUCGUAGGCGGCCUGUUGCGUCCGCUGUGAAAGCCCGGGGCUUAACCCCGGGUCGGCAGUGGAUACGGGCAGGCUAGAGGUAGGUAGGGAGACGUGGAAUUCCUGGUGUAGCGGUGAAAUGCGCAGAUAUCAGGAGGAACACCGGUGGCGAAGGCGGGUCUCUGGGCCGAUAUUGACGCUGAGGAGCGAAAGCGUGGGGAGCAAACAGG